AUGGAGGGCUCAACGUUGGCGUCUAAAUCGGCGAUGAACGACAUGCAAGCAAUGAUGAAGGAGUUGGGGUUGAAAGAGGAUGAUCUGGUGGAUAUAGUCAUGGAGGAUGGUGAUAUUCCGGAGGAAGCUGCUCGCUGGAUGGCAAUUGCUCGUGUGCACAUCGACAGGAAAUAUAGUCAGUAUUGGUUUUUCCGCAACAUGAGGAUCGCAUGGGAUCUAGCGCAAGAGGUCAAAUUCUGUCCACUGGUGGAUAACCUAUACACACUGCAAUUCUCUUGCCUCGGCGAUUGGGAGCGUGUAAUGGAAGAUGGGCCAUGGACCUUCAAGGGCAAGGCGAUCGUUAUCGAGCCAUAUGAUGGAAUCACCGAACCAUCAUCGAUUAGUUUGAACAAAAUUGAGAUGUGGAUUCAAAUUCAUGACCUCCCGGAACUGUUUUUCCCCCUGAUCAAAUCCCUUGCUGCAACCGUGGGAGACCUCAUCUACGAUGAACCCAAAUCCCAGGACUUUGAGGGUAAUUUUUUCAGGGUGUGUGUAAAGGUGGAUGUCACAAAGCCUCUCAGGAACGCGGUUUCGCUGGUGAUUAAGAAGAAAAGGGAGAUAUUCAGGGUCAAGUAUGAGAGACUGCCCACCUGGUGCGCUGUCUGCGGUAUGCUAGGUCACAUGUAUAAAGAAUGUGGCAAUGGAAUUCAUCCUCCAUCGGCACUAGUUUUCAAAAACCUUCGUGCAGAUUGGUUUAAGGGUCCAGGCCAUGGCCCCGGGGCCGAGAAUGCACCGGGUGGAGGCAGGGGCAGAGGCAGAGCUGGCCGUGGAGCAGGUCGUGGAGCAAACCAGUGGGGUGCAAGUCAGCGUGAUAGCACGGAGUGGAUGGGACGGGAUAACCCUAGUCUUAAUGAUGACAUAGACAUGGUAGGGGCUGAAGGAAACAGAAAGCGUGGAGCAGCACAAGUCAACAUGGGGGCGCCAGCGGUGCCAGAAUAUGCUACAAAAAACAGCUCGAGUCAAGUGCCUCUUGCCUUACCCCCCGCGGCGGUACCUCAGAGUCUAACUUCCAAGCAGGAACCAAAGAGGACGACAGCCACUGUGCUGAUGUUUGAGCAAGGAAACAUGAAGGCUACAACUAGCAACAACCCUUCUGAUGCACGUUUGGUGGGCUCCCUAGAGGAGUUCAUAUCAGAUUUGGAGAUCAUUGGUAGCAGCAAUAUGCGUGCUGUCCAGGGACCGCUAUCGCAUGUGGUGCCUAAUGCUAGACCCAAAGCCCCUCCAAUGGGCUAUGAAAAAUUUCAUGUUGACGCCGGGGUCAGAUUCGAGCGUGGUGGUUCUGCAGCGGCUAUUUGCAGGGAUGACCAAGGACUUUAUCUUGGAAGCUCUGCACUUGUCAUCUAUGGUGUCUGCGAUCCCACAGUUCUGGAGGCGAUUGCAUGUUGGGAGGCACUACCAUUGGCAGAAGAUCUCAAUUUGCAUCAGUUCAUCAUAGCCUCGGAUUGCAAACAAGUUGUCUCAGACAUUUCUAGGGGGGUCCGGGACGCCAUGUGUGGCUUGGGAAUCCCCAUGACCCUUCUUGUAUCCCACUUCAUGUGA
rnacentral:rRNA from 1 species